UUCUGGCUCAGGAUGAACGCUGGCGGCGUGCUUAACACAUGCAAGUCGAACGAAGCAUUAGGUCGGAUCUUUCGGAGAGAAGAACUAUAUGACUUAGUGGCGGACGGGUGAGUAACGCGUGGGCAACCUGCCUUUUACCGGGGGACAACAGUUGGAAACGACUGCUAAUACCGCAUAAGCGCACGGUAUCGCAUGGUACAGUGUGAAAAACUCCGGUGGUAAAAAGAUGGGCCCGCGUUGGAUUAGGUAGUUGGUGAGGUAACGGCCCACCAAGCCGACGAUCCAUAGCCGACCUGAGAGGGUGACCGGCCACAUUGGGACUGAGACACGGCCCAAACUCCUACGGGAGGCAGCAGUGGGGAAUAUUGCACAAUGGGGGAAACCCUGAUGCAGCCGACGCCGCGUGAGUGAAGAAGUAUUUCGGUAUGUAAAGCUCUAUCAGCAGGGAAGAAGAUGACGGUACCUGCACAAGAAGCCCCGGCUAACUACGUGCCAGCAGCCGC
rnacentral:rRNA from 1 species